UCACUUGCAAACUUAGAUCCAAAAAAGGAAAAAAAUCGCAGAACUUGGUUUCCCCGAGAGAAAAUCCACCUUGCACCUCGGGGAUGGAGGAACACACAAAUGUUCAAAUGUUUUUUUCCAAAAACCACUGUUUCCACUCGAAAGUGGACACUCGAAGAAAAAAGAAGAAGAAGCCCACUGCACUGACACUGAUCGUCGACGAUCAACGAUCAAAGCUGAUGAAACCCCGAGUUCACCUGGCGUCGAGAAGUGGUUCCCUUCUUCCAAACACCCUUCCACUCCUUUCCUCCAACACCAAGCGGUAUCUUUCUCUCGAAAACUAUCUACUAUCCCCGUCACUUUCGUACGAAAUACGGCUAAUUCGGCGGAACGAUGCCCGAUUCGCGUAUUCCAUUCGAUCCCCGCACAUCUCACGGGUAGAGCGGUGCACGCCACCGGUCGCGUUGCCACCCUUAACGAAGGAACGAACACCGAGAGCCCCAACGCGCGCGGCUCAUUUCGGCCAACUGACUCCGAGCGCAGAAACCUCGGGGCCCUUCGCCUCUUGGGCUCCUCCGCUGCUCGCUCAGAGUGGUGGUGGAGACGCCGUCGACUGUGGUGGUGGUGGAGGGCCGUGGUGGUGGUGGCAGUAGCGGCGGAGAGACGAGCCGUGCGCUCGAGCCGGCCACGUUGGUGGGAGCGCGCGGAUGCUGGAGAGCCUCGACGAGCCAACCGUGCUGAGUGUCGCGCGAACAGUCGAGAGAAACGGAUCGACGCUUCUGGAGGAGGAGGAGUGAAUGUUGCCCUCGGCGGUUCCGUAACGGCCUGUGGAACACGGGGCCUGCAUAAUGCCACGCUGUGCGCGUACACGACCGCUUCUAAGGGCCGCCGACGGGUAGGGAUGACCGCAGGAUCCCGAGGGGUGCCACACCCCCUCUUUUGCCGUGGUACAGAAGCACCCAGCGGGGGUCACCCGGUGCAUGAUACAGCCCUUCCAGGCCCCUGCCCUGGGCCCGUACCGGUCACAUUCCCCGCGGGACCGAGUUCUCCUCCCUGGAGGUGAAAGGAGACGAAGAGGCGCCCAUUGAUGCUAGAGUGUCCCCAAGUUCACCCACAGUGAGGAGGGAUGGCUGGACCUGUGUAUUCGUUCCACAGGUGCGGAUUUCGUCGAUUUCGCGCAUCAGCGAAGACUGCUCUAUCAGGCAGCUGCAGGCCACUGGAGCUCCCAUGCCUCAUCGUCCUUCUUUUUUCCUUCCUUUCUUUCUCUGUUCCUCGCCAUGGUCCAUCCACCUUGACGUCUUCCACAGAGUAACGAACGAUUCCAUGCCAUCGGCUUUUUUUUCUUCCAUCCACUUCUCUCUUCCUGACUGG